rnacentral:rRNA from 1 species
GAUGAACGCUGGCGGCGUGCUUAACACAUGCCAGUCGAACGAUGAAGCCCAGCUUGCUGGGUGGAUUAGUGGCGAACGGGUGAGUAACACGUGAGUAACCUGCCCUUAACUCUGGGAUAAGCCUGGGAAACUGGGUCUAAUACCGGAUAGGAGCGUCCACCGCAUGGUGGGUGUUGGAAAGAUUUAUCGGUUUUGGAUGGACUCGCGGCCUAUCAGCUUGUUGGUGAGGUAAUGGCUCACCAAGGCGACGACGGGUAGCCGGCCUGAGAGGGUGACCGGCCACACUGGGACUGAGACACGGCCCAGACUCCUACGGGAGGCAGCAGUGGGGAAUAUUGCACAAUGGGCGCAAGCCUGAUGCAGCGACGCCGCGUGAGGGAUGACGGCCUUCGGGUUGUAAACCUCUUUCAGUAGGGAAGAAGCGAAAGUGACGGUACCUGCAGAAGAAGAACCGGCUAACUACGUG